rnacentral:rRNA from 1 species
GUGAGGAAUAUUGGUCAAUGGGCGGGAGCCUGAACCAGCCAAGUCGCGUGAAGGAAGAAGGAUCUAUGGUUCGUAAACUUCUUUUGCAGGGGAAUAAAGUGCAGGACGUGUCCUGUUUUGUAUGUACCCUGAGAAUAAGGAUCGGCUAACUCCGUGCCAGCAGCCGCGGUAAUACGGAGGAUCCGAGCGUUAUCCGGAUUUAUUGGGUUUAAAGGGUGCGUAGGUGGUUUGAUAAGUCAGCGGUGAAAGUUUGCAGCUUAACUGUAAAAAUGCCGUUGAAACUGUCGGACUUGAGUGUAAAUGAGGUAGGCGUAAUGCGUGGUGUAGCGGUGAAAUGCAUAGAUAUCACGCAGAACUCCGAUUGCGAAGGCAGCUUACUAAGCUACAACUGACACUGAAGCACGAAAGCGUGGGGAUCAAACAGUAUUAGAAACCCGUGUAGUCC